GACGAACGCUGGCGGCGUGCUUAACACAUGCAAGUCGAACGGAAAGGCCCUGCUUUUGUGGGGUGCUCGAGUGGCGAACGGGUGAGUAACACGUGAGUAACCUGCCCUUGACUUUGGGAUAACUUCAGGAAACUGGGGCUAAUACCGGAUAGGAGCUCCUGCUGCAUGGUGGGGGUUGGAAAGUUUCGGCGGUUGGGGAUGGACUCGCGGCUUAUCAGCUUGUUGGUGGGGUAGUGGCUUACCAAGGCUUUGACGGGUAGCCGGCCUGAGAGGGUGACCGGCCACAUUGGGACUGAGAUACGGCCCAGACUCCUACGGGAGGCAGCAGUGGGGAAUAUUGCACAAUGGGCGGAAGCCUGAUGCAGCAACGCCGCGUGCGGGAUGUCGGCCUUCGGGUUGUAAACCGAUUUCGCCUGUGACGAAGCGUGAGUGACGGUAAUGGGUAAAGAAGCACCGGCUAACUACGUG
rnacentral:rRNA from 1 species